GGCUCAGGAUGAACGCUGGCGGCGCGCCUAACACAUGCAAGUCGAACGGCACCCCUCUCCGGAGGGAAGCGAGUGGCGAACGGCUGAGUAACACGUGGAGAACCUGCCCCCUCCCCCGGGAUAGCCGCCCGAAAGGACGGGUAAUACCGGAUACCCCCGGGCGCCGCAUGGCGCCCGGGCUAAAGCCCCGACGGGAGGGGAUGGCUCCGCGGCCCAUCAGGUAGACGGCGGGGUGACGGCCCACCGUGCCGACAACGGGUAGCCGGGUUGAGAGACCGACCGGCCAGAUUGGGACUGAGACACGGCCCAGACUCCUACGGGAGGCAGCAGUGGGGAAUCUUGCGCAAUGGGGGGAACCCUGACGCAGCGACGCCGCGUGCGGGACGGAGGCCUUCGGGUCGUAAACCGCUUUCAGCAGGGAAGAGUCAAGACUGUACCUGCAGAAGAAGCCCCGGCUAACUACGUGCCAGCAGCCGCGGUAAUACGUAGGGGGCGAGCGUUAUCCGGAUUCAUUGGGCGUAAAGCGCGCGUAGGCGGCCCGGCAGGCCGGGGGUCGAAGCGGGGGGCUCAACCCCCCGAAGCCCCCGGAACCUCCGCGGCUUGGGUCCGGUAGGGGAGGGUGGAACACCCGGUGUAGCGGUGGAAUGCGCAGAUAUCGGGUGGAACACCGGUGGCGAAGGCGGCCCUCUGGGCCGAGACCGACGCUGAGGCGCGAAAGCUGGGGGAGCGAACAGGAUUAGAUACCCUGGUAGUCCCAGCCGUAAACGAUGGACGCUAGGUGUGGGGGGGACGAUCCCCCCGUGCCGCAGCCAACGCAUUAAGCGUCCCGCCUGGGGAGUACGGCCGCAAGGCUAAAACUCAAAGGAAUUGACGGGGGCCCGCACAAGCAGCGGAGCAUGUGGCUUAAUUCGAAGCAACGCGAAGAACCUUACCAGGGCUUGACAUAUGGGUGAAGCGGGGGAGACCCCGUGGCCGAGAGGAGCCCAUACAGGUGGUGCAUGGCUGUCGUCAGCUCGUGUCGUGAGAUGUUGGGUUAAGUCCCGCAACGAGCGCAACCCCCGCCGCGUGUUGCCAUCGGGUGAUGCCGGGAACCCACGCGGGACCGCCGCCGUCAAGGCGGAGGAGGGCGGGGACGACGUCAAGUCAUCAUGCCCCUUAUGCCCUGGGCUGCACACGUGCUACAAUGGCCGGUACAGAGGGAUGCCACCCCGCGAGGGGGAGCGGAUCCCGGAAAGCCGGCCCCAGUUCGGAUUGGGGGCUGCAACCCGCCCCCAUGAAGUCGGAGUUGCUAGUAAUCGCGGAUCAGCAUGCCGCGGUGAAUGCGUUCCCGGGCCUUGUACACACCGCCCGUCACACCACCCGAGUCGUCUGCACCCGAAGUCGCCGGCCCAACCUUUCGAGGGGGGAGGCGCCGAAGGUGUGGAGGGUG
rnacentral:rRNA from 1 species